rnacentral:misc_RNA from 1 species
GUGCGCAAAGCAGCAGCGGCUGCUCGCACCUCAGGAUACCGUAGUGAGGGGUGGUCGGCUAAGAGGUUGUGGAUGGGUAUGAUGUUGUAGUGCUCCUCUUCCGGUUCUUGUGCCCGGUUAGACCGGUUCGGUCCAGGUGGAGUGCGAUGGCGGAGAGCGGACAUGGCAUGAGGAGCGGCAAGUGGGAGUACAGACUUUUCAGAGAGAAUGCGUAGAAGAGAGAAGAAGAAGAAGAAGAAGAAGAAACAGCGGUGG